AAGGAGAAAUUCUAUUAAUCUGUGUAGCAUAGACGAACAUUAGGGUUUUUUCUCCAAGCGAUUUUCUAGGGUGUUUUCUUGUCAGUGAUUUCUUCAAGUGAUUAGGGUACUUUCUCUCGGCCGAGAUCACACGUACUGAGUGAAAGAGCGAUGACGUGGUAUCGAUUUCUCAAAGAGAUUUUUUAGGUUUUAUUUUCUUCGUGCAUCCAUAGCGGCGGCGAGUUCUCAACCCCUCUUUAGUCUCAUCCUAUGAAUAAUAGUGAGAUUUCAUAAAAAAUUCCACCAACCAAUCAUGUUUUAAAGGAUUUCCCCCCUUUGAUUUCUUCUUCUGUUGGUGGUUCACCCAAUCGGAUGAGAAUUCCUAUCUCAGAUCUGCGUUAAUCUUUCAUGGGUAUGAUCUAUGUAAACUGUUUAAGCAACAACAAUUAAACACCCUCUAGAUCAAAGUUGUAUUUUGAUGAAGCAAAGAUGAUUGACGGAAAAUCAACUGCUUGUUUCACUUCAGGGAUUGCUUCUCAAAGAAAUACAUUUGUGAUUGAUAACGCUGGGGAGAAAGAAGAGGCGACUCAAAUUCGAGUUGAACAAAUCCCUUUGAUAGAUGAUUCGAUAGAUUCUCAGAUCAUAAACUCUAUCUAAGAUGGAAGAGUGUUAGAUGGUGCCUUGUUAUCUAAGGUGAAUGGUAUUGGGUCUCAAUCUUCAGCACUGAAAUUGACUUAUGCUAGAAAACAUAAUCAUUAAGCAAAACAGAGAAAAGUCAAUGCAAGUGGAUACUUGUUUUUUAAACGUCUUCGAUGUGUUGUUUCAAGAAGAUGAAAGUCCAAAUGAAGAAGUGGUUUCACGAGCCUAUUGCAACUAAAAAUGGUGAAAUUUCUGAAAUUGAUGUUGGGAAGGUAAUUGCAAGUGAAGUUUCAACUUAACCUAUUCCAGUCAGGAGGAGGAGUCUUUAAAGCUCCAGAAUGUGAUACAGUCAACAACGUGGUUGUUCAGAUGAAGAUAUGGAAGUAGAAAAUGUCAAACCUCUUGAUAUUAUUCCCCAUAGAACAUCAUUGACCAAUUCUCAACAAGUAGAAAAUAUUCGCAAGUUUGCUGCUCUUUUAGGAGCACCCAGUGGGUGUUUGAAAGAGGGAGCAAGAAAAAAAUUUGGUGAGUUAUUGAGAAAUAUCAGAAAACUAAUAAAGAGAGGGAAAUUGAGAAAUUAGGCUGGAAAAGUAAUCUUACUAAUGAACAGCUUGGAAGGGGCCAAAGGAGAAACUAUUUUAUUUUAUCGUCUGAUGAUAUUGUUGCUUUGUUAUCGUUUGAGCUUAACAUUUGGAUCUUUUUCACA